CACACACACACUAGCAACCGGGGAAGGAAGUCGAGAAGAAUCGAGAAAGAAGGAAAAAAAAAUGGGAAAGAAGAGAAAGAAGAGAAGAAAAGAAAGAGGAAAAGAAAAAGAAGAAGUGGGCUUUCAAUUCUUGGGUGCUCCAUUUCUUCAAUUUUUCAUUUGAUUUAGAGAGGUAAGUGUAAGUAUAUUGAAUUAAGUUUUCUUUUAGGGUUUAUGGAAAAUUUGGUUAUAUUCGAAGUUAGCUAAAAUUAGAGGUUAUUGAAAUUUAUUUGAGGUAUUAAACAUGAAUAUGUUACAGAAAUAUAUAUUGAAUGAUUGGUGUUGGAAAAAAGAAAAGAAAAGAGGGGUACUUUGAAAUUGCGUUUAUGAAAUAGAUACUUAUUCUUUGAUUUUCUUGGGAUUAUAUGAUGUUAAUAACUUAAAUUAAGGAAUUGGGUUUGAUUUCACUAUUUUUAAGUAAUAAUUAUAAGCAAUUUUUGGACAAAGUCCUACACAGGUACUGUUUUUGAAAUCCUGUCCAGAAAAGUGCUACUUUGUCAAUGUUUUCGAUAACAGAUUACAAUAUGACAUUGGUGCUAGUUUUCAAUAUUCUAAAAUUAUAGUGCUAGUUUUGUCAAUCAUCUAAUUUUCAUGAAUUUUUAGUAUUGGAACCAAAUUAAGUGUUAAAUAUUUGGAGUUUUGGUGUUAAAAUAAUUUAUAUAAAGGAGUAUAUAUUGUUAGUGACCUUAAUUGGGAUUAUGAUGUUGAAAAUAAAGUAUAGCAAGUUUCCAUAGGUAAAUUAAUAUUUCAAAUGGUAAGAAAAUACUCAAGGCACCUUUGUAAGGGGAUAUGAUUUACUCGAGCGAUUGCGUAAUAUCAUACUUGAUAUUUGAAGUUGAAGCAGUGAAGAGAAGAUUGAAAUCAUGAUCGACUAUGACUUGAUAGAAAGCAGCCGAAUUGAACAGCUUUGGAGCCUAUUUAACCACUGAAUUGAGCCAUGCGUCAUAGGUUGUAUGACAUCAUUUAUCAAAUUAACAUUAUGUGUUCUUUUGGGAUACAUGUAGCUUAAAUCAGAAAAGUUCAUUAUAGAGUCAUUAAAUGUUUAGUAUUUUAAGUAUAUUUGAGGAUUGUUAGUUGUAAAGCAAGUAAAUAUUGAUUUGCUAGCAUUUUAUUUAUAUAGUUUGUAUUUUGAGGGAUUAGCGUACCCUGAUUUGUAUUAUAGGUACUGAUUUGAGAAAAAUUGUUAAUUGUUUAGGUGAUUUUAGUUCGUAUUUAAGGAGAAACUUUGUCAAAAUUA